AUGCUCACUUGCUUGCUCGUGGUCGUGUUCCUAUCUCGGAGGUGCUUGCCGAGCUUCGUGCUGAGGAGACCCACCUUCGCUCUGCUAGUUUGCUGGUGGUCCCAUCUGUGUUGGCCGCUCGGGCUCCUAUGUCGUCUGCUCGGCUCACCGCUCCACCGCUUCUCCCCACACCUUCAGGGGGUGGGUCGCCCUGCUUAUACUGAGAGGAGCUUGUCACGCCGUGACACCUUCUGUGGCUACUGCUCCCAGCUAGGUCACCCAGAGUCUGAUUGUCGUGAGAAGAAGCGAGACCAGCGGCGCUCCUCUUCCAGCGAGACUCCUGGAUCUUCCUCGACCCCGUCACUCACUGAUCAGGACAUUCUAAGGCUCAAACGUCUCUUGGCUUCCUCAGGCUCUUCGUCGACUGGUUCAGCUGUUGUUGUGAUGGCAUCCACUUCUCCAUCACCGCAGGCAUCUACACAGUCAGGUACAUCUUUGUGGGUUCUGAAUUCUGGAGCCUGCUUUCAUAUGUCUUUUGAUUCUUCCGCGUUGUCUUCUAUCCAACCUCUUGAUUCGCCUGUUAAUGUUUCUUACUGCCGAUGGCACAUCUCUUCCUGUUGCUAG
rnacentral:rRNA from 1 species